rnacentral:rRNA from 1 species
UACGUAGGGGGCUAGCGUUGUCCGGAUUCAUUGGGCGUAAAGAGCGCGCAGGCGGCUUGGUAAGUCGGAUGUGAAAUCCCGAGGCUCAACCUCGGGUCUGCAUCCGAUACUGCCCGGCUAGAGGUAGGUAGGGGAGAUCGGAAUUCCUGGUGUAGCGGUGAAAUGCGCAGAUAUCAGGAGGAACACCGGUGGCGAAGGCGGUUCUCUGGGCCUUACCUGACGCUGAGGAGCGAAAGCAUGGGGAGCAAACAGG